UGAAAACCUAGGAGGUGAGGAACAGGGUUUUCAGGACCUUCCUACUUAGGCCAGCACAAGGGCCUUCAUGUGGGGUGAAAACAGGCCGUCUAGAGCCUGUUGGAGGGUUCUGGUUGGGGAGAGCAGCUAAUCACAGAGCCCUGACUGAAAAAUGGUCCUCCUCUAUCGAGGAGGGUCGCUCUCUCCAGAGCUUAGCUUCAAGGACACUCAUAAGGACAUGGGGAAAACACAGGGACAUGUGCCUGGCCAAGUCAGCCGCAUCAGCCUUGGCCAACAAUGGGGAGACAGAUGUUCUAUCCAGAUUGCAGCCACAGCUGGAAUGGAAUUCUUCUCUCGGUGUGUUCUAGGGACUCUGACACCAUCUUCCGGCCUCCUAGGACCCAGAACAGAAGCCAUGCAGACAAAACAUACGCAUGAAAUUUUAAAAGAAAUCUAAAAUAACAGAAGGCCUGAAAUUUGGGAUCGGUUGCCAAGUAUGUGCCACUAUGCCUGGCUAAGCAAGCUCUUUGGGACAGACUUAGCCAUGACUGAGAGAGAACGGGAGGGCGGGGCUGGAAGGCACCUCCUUGCUAGAGCUCUCAUUCCGGGGCUAGGUGUCCGGAGGGAAAUAUGGGAAGGUGGGAAAGACAGACUAGAAGGGUCACCUGUCGAAGCAAGUACUCCUCCUCUUCCUUGGAGAUGAAAUCGGGGACAUAGUAGAUUAGAGAUGGCGCCUGUAAUGGAAAGACGGCCCUUAGGAGAGGGGUCCUCAACCUGUACAGCUAUGAAGCAGCGACAAGAAUAAUUUUUAUGGUUGUGGUUCACCACAACAUGAGAAACUAUUAAAGGGUCGCAGCAUCAAGAUGGUAGCGAACCCCUGCCUUAGGAUGUGGCGCUUUGUCCAACACGGGGACCCCAUCAGGAUUGAGCAACCUUUCCCUUUGGAGAGGAAUUUGGGAUGCCCUCAGAGAGGCCAGGACCUCAAUAGCCCUGGGGGUCGGAAGCAGGCAUGCUCUGAGGAGAGACAGGGCAAUCCCAACCAACAAACCCAGCAGUCCCAGUCACUUCGCCCCACCCCACCCCCUUCUGUCCCCACAUCCCCCUCCACACCCCAGUCCUGUCAACCUGUUCCACCCUGAACGGUUCCAGGGCCGGGACCCUGGCGUCCUGCUCCUCCAUGGACACCAACUCCUCGCGUGCCGCCCUGUGGGAGGGGAAAGUCACCAAGCCUCCCAUCUUCAAGCUGUGACCCGCCUUCCUUCCACCCCCUCGGGGGCCAGACCUCAAAGCUGGGGCCCUGGGUUUCUCAGAGCCGCCCAGUGACCCCACGCCCAACCCCGGAUCCCAGCGCCGAUCGGAGUCAGCAGACGCCAACCUGAGUCCUUCCAAGCCCACCCGGGCCCCACCGCUUCACAGGCCCCUUGCUUCCCUCGAGAGCCCGCUGCGGACGUGCAAGCCUGAGUGCAGGACCCCCAGGGCCCAAAGACCCUCGUCUCACCUCGGCCCCUUCAGCACCCUCGGCCCCGAGCCAGGCUGCCGACGCUGGUUUCCCGGCAGAACCUCCCCAGACCCCGGAGGGUCGGGAUUCCACGCUCUGAGCCCCCCGGGGCUGCCACCCUGAGCCCCCUCAGGUCCCCGCACUCGUCACCUCUAAAGCUCCCCCCGCGCGCGCACACGCGCGCCCCCCGGACAACCCGACCGUCCACGCCGCCUCCUCUAACUUCCAGACUGAACCCGCUCAGGCUCGCCCGCCCCGGCCACUUCCGCCCGUGCUGCCGACGCAGGACGCGUUAGACCGCUGGCCGUCCCCACAGCCACCUCCGGGCCCGCCCUCCAGCCAAUCAACGCUCCCACUCGGCGUCCGCCGCGCUCGCUCAGGGACGGGCCGCGUCCCGCCUCCAAGGACCGGGCUUCGGCUGGUUCCCACCAAUCAGGACCCCACAGCAGCGUGGGCCCUCACCUCAGCGAGGGAGGCCACGGGGAAGGGACGGGCGCUCCGUGUUCUGCAGGCCAAGUCGCUGGUCUCAUGCCUUCCUUACCAGGAGGUGACAUUAAACAAACAAAGCUCUCCCGCCGUCCUCACCCCGGCAAAACCCCGGGGUCGGUGCUGUAACCCCCAGUGACCUGACACACGAAGGCCAUAGAAACGUCUUUAUUGAAGAGGACAGGAGUCAUGCUGAGUUUAGGGACAUGCAGUGAAGGGGCAGUCGUGAGCUGUCCUUGGUGGUCGGGGGCCCCAGGUCUGCUCUGGACCCAUGGGGCCUUCGGGUUCUCCCUCAGGCUGUUGGUCUGGCCCAGGUGCUGUGAGGUCCUUGGGGGCCAAUGACUCAGAUUUAGUGUCUCGGACCUGUGACCAGAAGGCAGACUGAAAUAGGGACUCCAAUAGGGGUCCUGGUAGAGCCCUGGGGCCCUGCACGUAUUAAGAAUCAGAGAUUUGGGAAUCGGGGGUUCCCUUGAGGCGGGGGCCCGUGGAAUUUGGAGUUUGGGAGAUCAGAAGAUCCAUGGACUGAGGGCGUUAGUCGUCUGUUCUUGUUCCAGAGAUGGGAUUUGCUGUCUGGGGUCUCCUGGUGCCUGGAGUUGGGUUUGAGAUGCCCUGAGAGCCUGGGGCCUUCUCCUGGCAACAGGUUCCUUGCUCCCACUCCCACGGACCUCGUGGUUGGGUGGUUUCCUGAGGGUUUGGGAUUGGGGCCUUAAAUUUGGGAUUCCCUGGGGAUUUGAAGAUUCUGUGACUUGGGUAAGGGGAGUCCUGGGAAUUAGAAAUUGGGGGUCUUCUAAGGAUCGGAGGACUUGAAGGCCUGGGGAAUUAGGGAUAUAUAUAAUAUAUAUUCUCUCUGGAAUUUGAACUCCCCAGAGUUCUAGAGCGGGGUCUCCAAAUUUGGGGGCUCCCCCCAAAGGGGGAAGUUAUUACUUUAAAAAAUAGAGAAUUUUCUGGGAGCCUUGGCCAGCACAGAGAUUGUGGGCCACGUGGGUGGGCUUCAUACAAGGCACUGGGGGUUUCUCGAGGGGGCAGGAAGACUUGGUGUCCUGCAAUUCAUGCUUCCAGGACUGUUUGGUGUUUGCAAAUUGGGGUGACGGGGCUGGUUAAGUGGGUGUCUUCUUUGGGGGGGGUGAGAACAGGGACUUAGUGAAUGGGGGGCAUCUCUGAUAAGGGCUUUCAGGUGACCUUGGGGUCACGACAUCUUGAGGAGACUGAUGUUGAAACGGGGAAAGUGAUGUGGGCUAUCCGGGAGAUAUGGCCUAUGCUUAAGGAGAAGGGGGAGGGGUGGGGUCUUCAUUCAUGGGACUCCCAUCCACUGGUGAGGAACUCAAGAGUGUCCUGUUAUGGCGAGGGUCGGCAUCACUUGGGUGACGUGGAAAUGUUUAUUGGGGGACAUCUGCUCUGAGGGGUGGGGCACAGGAACUAGCCUGAAGGUGCUACUCAGGGAAUCUUUGGGGGUAACAUGAGGUCUGUAUUUGGGGAGCUGUCAUGGGAGAUCUGUUAAUAAUGGGACCUCAGUACUCGAGGGCUGGCUAACAGGGGCUUUCUAUUCUGGAGGUGUCACUGGGAAUCGCUAUCUGGGGGUGACUGGGGGCUCCUUGUGUCAGGAGAUGCUAGAGGGGACUCUGUCUCUUUGUAGGGACUCCAGGGCCUCUAGGACUGCAUCUCUGCCCUCAGCAUCCAGGGGAACCAGCAGCAGAAGAGUAACCUGCAAGAGAAGAGCCAGGUCACAUGGGACACAGCCCAGGAAGGCACGGAACUCACGACCCGCCUGCCCUCUGUGCGUGGGGAUUGCAGGCAUGGACCACACAUCCAGUUUACUGGCAACCUCGCUUCCAUCUCCCACCCCUGUGGGCCCUGCACACCCGCAGCCAGUGGCCUUGCAGAUGUCUCUCACGUUCUGCUGGAAGGCCUGCCACACACCUGGAGA